rnacentral:rRNA from 1 species
UACAGAGGUCUCAAGCGUUGUUCGGAAUCAUUGGGCGUAAAGCGCGUGUAGGCGGUUUCGUAAGUCUGCUGUGAAAGUCGGAGGCUCAACCUUCGAAAGCCGGUGGAUACUGUGAGACUUGAGUACGGAAGAGGAGAGUGGAAUUCCUGGUGUAGCGGUGGAAUGCGCAGAUAUCAGGAGGAACACCAAUAGCGAAGGCAGCUCGCUGGGACGUUACUGACACUGAGGCGCGAAAGCGUGGGGAGCGAACAGG